rnacentral:rRNA from 1 species
UGAUGGGGAUAACAGUUGGAAACGACUGCUAAUACCGAAUACGCUCAUGAUGAACUUUAUGAGGAAAGGUGGCCUCUGCUUGCAAGCUAUCGCAUAGAGAUGAGUCCGCGUCCCAUUAGCUAGUUGGUGGGGUAACGGCCUACCAAGGCAACGAUGGGUAGCCGAUCUGAGAGGAUGAUCGGCCACACUGGAACUGAAACACGGUCCAG